AGCAGGCGGCGGGCCGCGGGACCUCGGGGCAGCCGGCGCCACGGGGAGCUCAGUCGAGAGACAGGGAAAAGUUGUUUUCCUAAAGACCCUGAAGGUUUGAACAAUGCGGCUUCCAGCCGAAGUGUCUAAAACCUUCACCCCGAGGGGCUGAGUCUUUCCCCUUCCGUGGUGGUGUCCUGCUGCACCUAGCAUCUCUGUUUCCGAUAGCAUCACACCUAACAACAGCAGCAGGAGGAUAAGCACCUGGCACUGUAUGGUUAUUUUGGCACCAUGGGCGAUGGGGUUUGACAACUGACAUUCCUCGGAGUAUUUUAAGCUAUAGGGAUGCAAUGCUUGAAUGUUCAAGAUGAUGCUGGGAAAAUCAUGUGGAAAGAACAGGCGUUAAGAAGCUUGUGUAGCAGCUGGGAUGUCAAGGCCACUGUGCAGGCAGGAUAUGCAGGCAGCUCCCCUGCCUCCUAGGGAAGAAAUAAACCAAACACAAAACAGAAGUCAAAGGAGUAUAAAUCUGCAAGGAGGAUGGAACUGCACUAGACCAAGGAAAAGUGUUAUAAAGGACUAAUUGGUGCUGCAGUUUCAGAUUUUACUCAGCAAAGCAAAAAGUGGGAGAUUUCAUCACGAGAAUCAGCAGAAGCUAGGCAAACAGACUUUGGUUUCACAAUCUCAUACAGUGGAUAUCUAUGGCUGAUGAUUUAUGUGCCUUGGGUCCUGCUGUCUGAACAGCUUCUCCUGCUGGACAAAAGAAGUUGACCUCAGGCAAAUAGCUGUGGGAGAGCAUGUAACGUAAUGUUCACAGGCAUGCACAUCUUCUCUUCUGGAUAUCAUUUUAUUUUACUGUCAUGAAUUUCACUAUGUUUUCUAAAGUUAGUUCCUUGGCGUUAAAGAAUGAGCCCUGUAUUUGAGUAUCUCUGUCUCCAGUUAACAUAUUUCUGGAUUACUGUGCUAUGAGACAAAUCACAAAAUUAAAAAUAGAUAUAAUAUCCAUAACUGAAAUGGUUUAUAGAGAGCAAUUUGAAACCAAUGCACAGAAUUACCUCUUCAAGAAAUAUUUCAACAAAGGAUCAUUAAUAGAAUUUGUCUACAUAUAUAGAUACAUCUUCUUUCUGUUAUUUAAUUAACAUGAUGCCUUUCUGUUCAUAGUAUAGAUUUAAACACAUAACCUUCUAUUCCCUGAUGAGCCCUACACACAAAUGUUCUUAUUGUAUGAGUUCCUAGAAGAAUAAAACUGUACAGACCUGCCAAGACUGGGUCCUUUUAAGGUGAGAAGUUAGCUGAAAAAACCCAUUGAUUUUAACACAUUCCAGAGCCUAAAGGCAGAAACUACUGAACAUUGAAAAGCUACACUGCUUCUCAAAAUUGCUGAAGUAUCAUUUUGUUAUUUAGAGAUACAAAUGUGUAAUUCAAUUAAAAAGAUGAAGCAUUUUGAAAAUUACAGAAAAUUGUAUUCCUGGUUGUGGUUUAAAUGAUAAUUUGCCUGUUUAGUAAGUGUCUGUAUACUUUGAUCAAGAAGAAAAGCAAAUGCUCUUUCACUCUGACAGAAUACAAUAGAGAAAGUAAUACCCAGAGAAUUAAACAGUGUAAGUUGUGAAUUAACAUGAUGUAAAAAAUAUGGGGUUCAAUAAAGUGUAUUUCUAUAAAGACAUCCAAGAUGAAAUUGUCAUUAAAAUAACCAAAAGUAGCAUGGGAUAAAAUUUUCCGAAAUAUUAAUGUAAUUUACACUGCUAGUCUUGUGUUUAAGUCAAUAUUUACUUAGAAAUAAUACUAUCUUUUAAAAGAAAAUUUCUUUCUCAUUCAGAUGUUAUAAAAAUAGGACUUACAAUUCUAAAUCAGAAAAUUCAGUACAAUUCUAAAUCAAAAUUCAGUUUUGAACAUUUCUCCUCAUAGCAUAAGCACUUUUAAAGUGAAGACUUUGUGUCUGCUUUGCUGCAGAACUCUAUAUCCCAAAAAGAAAGAUUAAUGGAUUCCAUAUAUCAGUGUUUUCCGGUAGAUUUCAUUGCAAAAAGUUACUAAUUAAUUUAUUAAUAACAUGGUCACAUACUGGUAUAUAAGGAAAAAUAAUUGGGAAGGAAUUUAAAUUAAAACUGGAAUAAUAAAAUAGAAAUCAGACAUUAACAGGACAGAACACUAGAAGUCACCAAUUUGAAUCACUAUGUGACUUAAAAACUCAAAAGCUCUUUAAUAAAACCAAUGUAAGUGUAUGAAGGGAUGUAAGUAUAUAAAGCAAUAUAUAUUUACUAUUAUAAAAUGCAUUUUUCAGUUAGAUGCUUUCUAUAAAUAAAUUAUUCUUACCUGUUAUAGUUGCUUUGUUAAUAGAUGGUUGGCUACACAUUGGUGAUCUUCUAUUAAAAAGGAAAUGAAAAAAGGUUUAAUCCUGAAAAAUGCACUGAUUACUGAAUUCUUAGACAAUACAACAGAAAACAUAUUACCUAGGAAUUUAUUUGAGAACUCCAGGACAGGAAUACUUUAGAAAAUUACAGGUUUAUUAAAAACCUGCCUAAUCACAUCUAGAGCAAAUGCAUAGCUUGAAAUAUGACUUAUAAUACAAAGACAUUCAUUUAUUUGGAAUUACUUCUAGGUGUCGAGAUGCAUGCUUUGGGUGAGGAAAAUAACUUCACUACAUUUGCCAGUGUAACUAACAGUGUUUACUGUGAUGCUGUAACAUGACUGGAGAGAGAUCAUAUUUAUGCUGCCUAACUUUUAGUUAUGAACUACUGUGGAUAGGUAGGGUAUCACUACCUUGAAUGAGUGGAGUUCUAAACUCAGAUCAUGCAAGCAGAUCUCAGUGAGUGCAGCUGUCUGCUCACUCUGUUUCAUUUGCAAUACUCAGACUGUGCCUGAAUGGUCAUCUUUGAAUGAUCUUAGACAUAUCACUAUCUAAAAUCACAUAAGGUGAAAAAACCUACUCCAACUUUAUGCAAGGACAACAAUUGCAAGAUCAAUUAGAAGGCAAGGAAACUAUUGUCUCAGCCACCAACUAUAACAUCUUUAGGGAAUUAUGAACUUAUUCCUCAUCAUAGUUUUAUGCGGGUUUGGUGGCACAGACUGAAAUCUAUAACUCCUAUUUGUCUUCUUAGCUUACAUUAAAAAAGUAUCACUGCAAAAAGUUCAGUGGCCAAAAAAUGACACUCACUUGCUGGGUGCCCGGUCUUGUAAAUUGGUUAAUGCAGCAAAGUUAUUCCGGACAGUACGCAGGCUGGCCAGAACCUGGAACAAAAAAAGUGGAUUCAGUAUUAAUUUCUGCAUAAUUGAGACUGAUCUAUCUCUGCUCCACUGUGCUGAAACAAAAUGGAAAGCAUGUUGCAAAACCCCUGUAAAAGUUUUCCUGGGCAGGUUAGUCUGGAGCAUUUGGCUAUUAUUUAACAAUAAUAUGCCUGUAAUACAAAGGCAGUAGUUUACAUCUAUUUUUUGUUCCCCUCAUAAACAACUCAUUUUCUGUCUGAAGGCAGGCUGACUUGCAGGGGAGGAAAGUUUUUUUUACAUAAUUCUACUUAUUUCUUUAAAAUACCAAGAAAAGCAUUUGAGUCUGGAAGAUAAUAGCCCAUUCAACCCAAAUAUUCCAUGCAUACAAAAUAAUUACAAAAUCUGCAGUUCAGUCCCCAUACACUCCAAAGGACAAAUGGAAUGAGAUUGUCUAGACUGCUAGGAAAAGUAAAAAAGCAAAUGUGUCUCCUCUAAGAGGCACAACUGAUUUAGGGACUUAGUGCAGAAGGCCAGAAAAAAAGGAAGUUAUCCCCUGAGAAUGCAGGAAAAGUCUGCAACCUCUUACAAGCUUCAUGCACUGGGGAAGACAACACAAAAUAACUGCUUCCUUUCUGGACUUAAUAUCAUGCAAGAUAGCAGACAGUGAAUGUAGUGGAGUGUCUUUGAGUUAUAAGUGGCAUAGGCACUCUCUUCUGAAGGCAGUUGGGCAAUAUGCAAAAGAUUUUGUGCCAUGUGAGGGUAAAAAGAUGAACCUCUCUGUCAGGGGUGAGAUUGUUCAGCUGAUGUCUGAGAGGAAUUGUGAGUUUAUUAGAGCUAGGCUGGAAAUGGGAGAAAGCAGCAACACUAAUCACUGGUAUGUCUUUGCAGAAGUUGACAAUUUUUUUUUUUCUCAGCCCAGACUGGGCUGGGUUCCUGGUGAACCCAUCUGAAGAAUAACAAAAGCAGCAAUGAGAAGCUGGGUUUCAGAGAUCUGAAUUGAGGAGUGUACAACCCUCUUUUCAUAGCAACUUAAAUAUAUACCGUAGGUAGGAAGUGAGUAGGACGCUGAAGAAAAAAAGAAUAAACUAAUGAAAGUUUGUAACAGAAAGUAUUUAAAACUAGCAAUGACUGGCAGUUGUCAAACUAUUGGAGGUAAAUUUGAAAGAAGUUAAGAUAAUAAAAAAUAUAUUUGGCUAACUAAAUCCAAAAAUCAGGAAGCAAACUGACUUAUUUCUAAUUCAGCAAGGAUUAAACCAAUUAUAUAUGUCAUCAAAUCUGCGUAUUCAGAGUACAGUGAAGAUUUCAGAGUAUUUCAUAAAAGGCCCUUGCUUAAUAGUUUCUCUGCUAGUAAAAGAUAAUGGGUUUAUUCAUAAUAAGGACUUGAUUGAGUCUUAUAAACACUGAAUCUCUUUGCAAUAUAAGUAAAUAUAUAAUAAGGUAUUUAAUUAAUAUACUUUUAAUAGAUUAUUAUUUGAGUAAAGCAACCUGCAUAGUUUGGCUGAAGCUGCCACAUAUGUCUAGACGUGGCAUACAUGUUAUAUAUAUAUACGACAUAUUAUGUAUAUAAUAUGAUAUAUGAUAUAUAAAUAUGAUAUAUAUGAUAUAUAGGCUAUAUAGUAUAUAUAGGAUA